GUCUCCUCUUCUCAUGAGGUGGCCAAAGUAUAACACACACACAAUGCAUCUAAAUUGUUUUUUUUUUUUUACCAGUCUAGCUGAGUCCCAGGAGGAUUAUAAUUGAAGGUCUGAGCAACAAAUGAUGUUGCAGUAUGAGUCAAUCAAGACGUGUUCUCAAGGUCCAGAGGAGGCAACUGCAACAAGCUAGACUUACUGCAAUUAUCACCUGCCCUAAUGUCCCUCCUGCCUUCUGUGAGUCUGUCACAUUUCCUCCACCUGAAACAUGAAGGUAUGUGCUGUUUUUAAAAUGUUUUCAGUCACCCUUAAAGGUUUUUAGGUGCUCCUAAUUUUAGAUGCUCUUAAUAUUUUUUUUUAAAAGUUUUAAAUAUGUGUAUAAAAGGACCCCUGACCAUUAGGUCCAGUUGUGACUGACUCUGGGGUUACGGCGCUCAUCUCGCUUUAUUAGCCAAGGAAGCCAGUGUACAGCUUCCGGGUCAUGUGGCCAGCAUGACUAAGCCACUUCUGGCGAACCAGAGCAGCACACAGAAACGCUGUUUACCUUCCUGCAGGAGCCUACCUAUUUAUCUACUUGCACCUUGACGUGCUUUCGAACUGCUAGGUUGGCAGGAGCAGGGACUGAGCAACGGGAGCUCACCCCGUCUCGGGGAUUCGAACCGCCGAGCUUCUGAUCGGCAAGUCCUAGGCUCUGUGGUUUAACCCACAGCGCCACCCGUGUCCCAUCAAAUAUGUGUAUAUGUCUAAGUAAUUACCAGCCAGUUGCCAAUCUCCUCUUCUUGGGGAAGGUUCUUGAGCAGAUGGCUGUGGCACUCUUGGAGGAAAUUGUUUUGGUCACACUGUAGGAUGACCUCUGUUGGGAGAGAGAGAAAGGAAACGGCUCCUUGUUGAUUCUCCUUGUCCUCUCAGCAGCUUUUCAUACUAUGAGUCAUGGUAUCCUUCUGGAGUAUCUGCCAAAGUUGAGGAGAGGUGGCACCACUUUGUGGUGGUUCCAGUCCUACUAGGAUGGAUGUUUCCAGAGGGUGAUGCUUGGGGAUUGUUCUUCAGCCCUGUGGAGCCUUCAAUGUGGGGUUCCUCAGGGUCUAAUGUUACUGAACAUGCUGUUUAACUUAUUGUUAUGAUUAAUAGUAGUAGUAUACCACCCUCCAUCUGUAGAUCUCAGGGUGGUUCACAACAUAAAAUUAUAAUAUAAAAAACACAAAAUACGUAAUAAAAAUAAGAACGAAAACAAACCAGUAAUGUCCCCCUCCAACAACACAUUUAAAAGGGCAUCUGAUGUUACUCAGCCAACAGCCUGGUUGAAGAGGAACAUUUUUGCCUUGUGCCUAAAAGUGCAUAAUAUAGGCACCAGCCGAAUCUCCUUGGGGAGAGCAUUCCACAAAUAGGGAGUCACUGCAGAAAAGGCCCAUUCUCAUGUUGUGUCCCUCUGGACCUCUUGUGGAGGGGACACGUGAAAAAAGGGCCUCAGAGGAUGAUCUCAGGACCCGGAUAAGUUCCUAAGGAGACAGGUGGUCCUGAGAUAUUGGAGUCCUGAGUUGUCUACAUAAAACUCCUGAGUGGAGUCAUCUAGUGUUUUGGAGUUACAUUGUCAGCAAUAUGCUGAUGACACACAGUGUAGCACCCUGCUUGUGGUUAACGCUUAGCUGGAAUGAAAUAUUCAACGCAGCAAUAGAGAAAUUAAAAUAAUAAUUUAUUUGUCAGACAAAUAAAUGAGAGACACAGUGGUAUAUGGAUACCAAAGCUCUGCCUACUCCAGCCCUGAUGGCCAGCACUUAUAUUUCCUCAGCCCAGCCCCCUUGCUCCUCCUUUGGCUGCCUCUGUCCAAUCAGCCUGGUUGAAAUUCCUAUUGGCUGUUUGCUAGAACCAAUCAUAAAAGAUACACCCAUUUCCUAUUCCCUUUUAUGGGAGACAAAAAGCUAUAUUUCCUUGUAUCCAUAAAUGGCAGACAAGUAACCAUAUAUCUUACAUUUACCUCGACCAGGCACCUCAAUUACCAGAUAACCUUUGGCCCCUGUUGCCCUAUUCACUGCAAACCAGAUGGCUAAAGCAGAUGGUGCAUGGUUUCUAAUUUUUUUUUAUCUUAAAGAGAUCUUGAGUUCACCUUCUCACCCACCAUAAUAGGAAUCUAACAUAAGAAUCUAACAUUUCUUACUUUCUAAAUCCUUUGCAUAAUCACAUUUAAGCCAAUAUAUUUCAUACAUAACAUAGAUAGAUUUUUAGAAGGAAAGGCCUUUUCAAAUUAAAGGAAUUUAGUAAAAGCUAAGUUCCUAAGUUCUAUAAAGAAACCUUUUUCCCUAACCAGCGGCUGUUUCUUCCAUUUAACCUUUAACCUUAUGGCUCGAGUCUUCUGUUAAACAAUAAAUUUCACUAUUUACCAGUUCUUAAUUGUGUUUUUACAGCUUGAUUGUAUUCUGGUCAGUGUGACCUUUUACUCUCUGGCUCUAAUUUCCUUUUACAACCUUGAAAUACUUUUAUUUAUAGCAGUGGGGCCCCUUGAACAGCUGCCAGAGUAUUCAGCUGGUCUUUCCCUGGCAGAGAAAAAUAUAUUUACAAAUAUAAUUUUUUAAGCUCAAAGCAGAUUUUGAUCAGAUGCCUCAACAGCUCUACUUCUCCUUUACAUCUGCAGGUGAGGCAGUGGAAGUGCUGGACCAGUGUCUUGCCUUGGCAAUGGACUGCAUGAGAGCUAACAAAGUGGUGGGUGGGUGGGUGUGAGAGAGAGCGCGCAUAAGAGACACACUGGGGCUCUGGGGUUUUGAUUUUAAGAGCGGGGAACCCUGUUGCAAAGAAGGGACCUUCUUCUGCAUUCUACAUCAGCUGCCCGGGGAGGUGUUAUUUGGUGCUGAUUAAUACAUAUAUUUGUCAUUGCAAAUAAUGCACUGUACAAAUAUGAUCUUGGAGUUCUGCCAUUAUUUUCAGAACACUCAGCACAGGCAUAAAUGAUCCUUGAGCUGCACAGCCACAGGGGAACAAAAGGCUAACCUUGGCUAAAGAGCUCCAUCUCCUCCUCCAAAAAAAUGCUCCAUCACUAAUUGCAACAGUAGAAAACUGUGUUCCCAUCAUCUGUGUAACUUUCAAGGUUUAUCAGUCAGAAUGUGGCUAUAACUCUUUUCUUUAUCUAUCCUGUGUUUUCCACAUAUCACCCUGAGCAUAUUUCCCAUUGAAUCAUAGAGUUGGAGAGUUGGAAGGGACCAAAGAGUCGAACCCCCUGCAAAGCAGGAAUAAGAACUAAAGAAUCCCUGGCAGAUGGCCACCCAUCACCUGCUGAAAAACCUGAAAUGAAGGAGAGUCUACCACUUCCCAAGGCAGUCUGUUCUACCAUUGAACAUCUCUUACCAUCAGAAAGUUAUUCCUCGUUUAAUCGAAAUCUCAUUCCUUGUCAUUUGAAUCCAUUGGUUUGAGUCCUGCCCUGUGGAGCGGCAGAAAACAAGCUUGCUCCAUCUUCCAUGUGACAGCCCUUCAGAUGUUCAAAUAUGGCUAUUCUAUCACCUUUCAGUCUUCUCUUCUCCAGGCUAAACAUGCCAAGCUCCCUCAACCGUUCCUCAUAAAGCUUGGUUUCCAGAUCCUUCAUCAUCUUGGUCACCUUCCUCUGCACAAAUUCCAGCUUGUCGUCAUACCACUUCCAAGCUUCCAUUGUUUCAGGUUUUCAUUAGGAGGUUUCGGGAAGCUAUUCACUAUGGGUUGAUUACAAUAUUACUUCAAUACAAUAUUAGAAUCCCAGAAAAUGACAGGCUCCAUCCUGCUCCUUCUUGUGUGUCAGGCAAAUGGUCCAACCUUCUAUUUGGGAAAGGCACUGCCUGGAACCUUGAGGAGCCACAGACACUCAGUAUAGACAACACUGAGGCUGCAUUCACAUGGCAGUUUAUUCCUUUUCCCUGAGGUUUCCCUAACUGUUAGCUCAAAUAUAGUGUAGAAAUGUUAAUAUGACAUAAAAGUCCCCUUCAGAAAUCUAACAAAACAUAGUCCAAGGAUGGCACUCAUUUCCAUGUUAAUUGCUUCCAGAAAAAAAGAUGUGUUUGCAACCCCAUUAACCCAGCAAAUCAUGGGAGUAAAGUGAUAAAAAAAAAAAUUAGACAGAAUACAAGGAUGCAGUUCUUCUAUCUGCCAUUUUCAUGGGUGAAACAUGAGGGACGAGAAGCACAGGUGCGCGGAAAGGAUGGGGGAAUAUUGCCCAAUGACGUCCUUUGUUGUGCCACACCACGCCCACUGGUGGGAAUGAAAUUUAAGGCAGCAUGCUGGUGUGUAUCACUGGAAAAGCCACAGAUCACUAACGCAACAGGAACUGCAGCACGAAGGGAACAUUAGAUAACAGAACAGAGGCACUAGCGUUAAUCAGAAAAAAAUAACACAAUGCUUCCCACCUCUGAAUGCACCCUGAGUAAGUUGAGUAAGUUGAGCCAAUGUGUUGAUCCAGUACAAGGGAGAAUUCUGUAAAAUUCCCCUCUGAAAUCUUCCACAUUUAAUAGAUGGGUAGAAGAGAUUUCCCCCCAUUUCUGGGAAUAGACUCCUGUGAUGAAAAGUGUUGAAAAGUCUUAAACGAAUAUCUAAUUUGUGUGAGUAAUGUCCUGUGCUUAGCAAUACAAAGAAAAGCUUUAUAUAUUGAUGGGGUUUAGGGGACAAAAAACCAAUUCACUGAGUAUCUGUCUUUCACUUACUACUAUCAUUUAUUAGGAGAGAAUUUUGAGCACAAUGAAAACAGGGAGUAAUUUAGAGGGGAACGAAAAAGCACCUCCAAUAAGGAUAUUAAACGAAAGCCAUAGAUUUCAAUCUCUGAUUCUUUAAUAUCCUCUUUUGUCAGGCUUACAGAUACUUUUAAGAAAAAUAACAUUGUAUAGGACAUUUCAAAUUAGACCAGCUAUUCAGGAGCUCAGGAGCUGCAAAGAGAUAUGGCUCUAGGUGAACUUACCACCAGGAAUGCACCGAUGGGACUUGGGGAGAUCGUUGCUCCUUCUCCAAGGCUUCCUUAAAUUCACCUUGCUCAAGGAAGGACUGUAGCUCAGUGCUGUCCCUGGGAUGCAAGAGGACCCAGGUAUAAUCCCUCGCAUCUCCAGGUAGGGCUGGAAAUUUCUCCUACUGUAUCUGAGAGACUGUUUAUCUGUUGUGCUCUUGCAGUUUCAACAGGAGCUAGUACUGGGUUGACUGUGGGAACAUAGCUCAUGCCUUGCGUGCAGCUGCUCCCAGGUUCAAUCCCUGGCAUCUCCAACUAGGACUGGCCCUGGUCUGAAAUCCUGGAGAGCUGCUGCCGCUCACUGUAAGGUAGUACAGUGGUACCUUGGUUCUCAAAUUCAAUCCGUUCCGGAAGUCCAUUCCAAAACCAAGGCUCGCUUUCCCAUAGAAACUAAUGCAAAAUGGGUUAAUCCAUUCCAGACUUUUAAAAACAGCCCCUAUAACAGCAAUUUAACAUGAAUUUUGCUAUCUAACGAGACCACUGAUCCAUAAAAUGAAAGCAAUAAACAAUGUGCUGCAGUCACACGACCAAUCCAUCAGUAGCUGAACACAGUCACAAAAACAAAACAAAAAAGUUGCAAAAACAAAACUGCAAAAUAGAUGGCAAAAACAGACAGACCUCAGCGUAACACUCAAAAUGGAAGUGUGGUACUCAAAUCAGAAGCGUAACACUCAAAACGAAGCAUGUUCAGCUUCUGGAAAAAGUUCGCAACACCUGGAACACUUACUUCCGGGUUUGCAGCUCUAUAGUAAGUCUCACCUAGACCACUUCCCAUUCCUACACUUCUAUGAUCAUUAGCCUUAAAAGAAUGUGGGUCAAAGCAUCAUUGCAUCCCUUCUAGCACCGUAGCCUUUCUUUCCCCCAAAGCCAUGAGAGCUAGGAGCAUGAUCAUUUUAAAUCUGAGACAUAAGCAAGUAUUUGGUGUGGCAAAGUUUGUAGUGCAUAUAUACUUGCAACAUGGUCUUUGAGCUAUAGCUCCUACCCAAACAAUAACUUAUUGCAAGGAUAUUUGCUCCACAAAUAUUUGCUGCACCAAAUACUCUGCAAAGGUCCCUAAUUCAAUCCCUGCCAUAUCCUGGUAAGCCUGGGAAACUCUCCUGCCUGAAACACUGGGGAGCUGUUUUCACUAAGUGUGGCCAGUAUUAGACCAAUGAUCUAGUUUGGUGUCAUCAGCUUCCUCCCUGCCUACGGCAGCCGAGUGCUCCUGUCUAGCUUGGAGGCUUCCCAUAGGCAUCUGGUUGGCUGAAUUUUUGAGCCAUUGGCCUGUUCCAUCAAGCUCAUCUUAUGUUCUUACCAAGUGUGGAUGGGGCCACUGAUGCAAUUCUUCCUGUGAACUAAAGAAACUACUACCUGGUAGCUCCAGUCUAUGGGGUGUUGCCCUUCUUGCAGUAGUCUUGCUGGCUAGUUAUAGUAGCAACAAUGGCUGGUGCCUAUUGGGACCGGUAGGGCAGAAGGCAGGGAGACCAAGGGGCAGAUGGAGGGAGUGCCAACAGCAGGCAGUGCCAACAUAUUCUGGUUUUGUCCCCAUCCGUAUCCUUGCUGACAUCUACAAGGCAAUUGCACUGUAAUCUACAUAUUAAUCCAACAAGUGAAGAUCGGUUUGCUUAAAAAUGAGAAACAAAUUAAUUCCAUUAACAGCUGUAGUCUGUUCCCUGAGCUCCAUAGAAACCACUUCUUUGAGUGCCGCCCUUGCCAGAAUUAAAGUGGGUGGCAAUUAGAGAGAGGUUUCGGAUUCCAGCAUCAUUAGACGUCAAGAAUUCAUGCUUCUGAGCAGGGUAAUGUGAAUACCAUAGCCAUCUCUACUGGGGAAGUUUCAGCUCUUCAGCCAGUGGUGAGUGGUAGCUAUUGAGGCUGGUGGGGUAGAAAGCAGGGAGGGCAACAGCAGGUGGCGCCAGAGGCAAUGACAGGUAGAACCAACUCAUUCUAGUUUCUUCCUCCCUGCUGAAUUCCACUGAGACUUGAAGAGGAAGAGGAGACUCACAGGAAGUUUCACCCCUUGGACUGGUUGCAAAUAAGAAAGCUGGCAAGAUGGACGCUGGCUGGGGGCUGGUGGGCGCCGACUGAGGCUGGUGGGGCAGAACCCUACUUGACCUCAUGAACCAGCCUCCACUGUCUUCAGCUCCUCCUCUAUGUCAAACAUGGAAUCCCAAAAUUCUCUGUGCUGUUCGUCAGCAGUAAAAUAGGGGCGGGGAUAGAGAAUUCCAUUGAAAGUUAACUUGGUGGGGAGGUAGAAUUCUCCAACCGUUGGGGCAAAGUCAAGGGGGAAACGAAAUUCUCAGAUAAUCCCUUGCAACAUUAUCUUCUGAGAGCUUACCCUAAUUGCACCACCUCUGAAACAAUCACAAUGCACUUUUUUCCAUGCGAAAAUGUCUAUUUAGUCUAAUAAACCGCUCUGGCUAAAGGACAGCUAGCGACGCCACUGCCGACAUAGCACCAGAAUCAAUAAAUACACUGUAUUUGUGCUGCUAUGCAAAACACAUCUCCCCGUAAACAUAUUUUGCAAGGGAGGUGAACUGAUGGGGAAAGCCGCAAGAUGGAAAGCAGACUUCCAACUUGUGGUACUUGUACUUAUGAAGUCAACUUUUCAUUCUCAUUGUGCAAAAUUCUAUUUGGGCAGAAAGCCCUAAGGAGUUGUGACUGGUGGGUCUCAGUCAUUUUCAGCCUUCUCAAGUGGACACAGUGGAGGGUAGAAAGUUUUGAGAACCCCAUCUAUUAAGUGAUGCUGUUGUUUAGUUGAUGUUCAACUUAUCUCCAUCCCUUUCCUGCUUUUGGGAUUACAAGGGAGAGGAAAUAUCUAUGUCCAGGAAAAAGUUGACAAUCAAAGUUUACUUCCCUGCCAUUAGUAAGGCAGUGUAUUCUAUUCAAACACAGCACAUCACCCACCUGUGAUACAGUGAAGCAGACAGAAAGACGUGUUCAUUAUUCUUCCUUUGCAAGUUGGGUAUUAUACAAAACAAUCCCCUCGAUGGAGAUAAAGCAGAUUCGAGUGUUGAUCUUACUAACCUUCCAAGUCAGUUGAGCGGCCUAACCUAUUAUCAUCUCAGCAUGAAUUCAGCGGCAAAGACAUCACUUGGCAUCAAGCAGAAACAAGAUGUGAACCCGACCAGGAAUUCCAUAUGAGGAGCCUUGCUUUCAUUUUCUUGCAUUAAGGCACAAGGCAGCUGCACUUCUGCAAGGAAAAUGGGAAGAAGGGGCUUAUUGGGGGUUGCCUUUCAGAUAUUUUCCACAUUGUUUGGGUUUGCUCAUGCAUAUUAUGUAUUAAUAGUUGUCGCACACAACACGGGGAGCAAAUUACUGUUACUGAGGAGGAGCUGCCAUCUGUACCCAGAUUAUGCUGGAGAGAAGGAUGGUCUUAUGGGAAGGAUACUCAGUGGGCCAGAUUGCUCAUUGGAGCUUAAGAUUUCAAACGUGCAAAGAGCAGGGAGGGCAGUAGCAAGUGGCCAGUCUGUUUGAUGUGCAGAUAUGUACCACGACCCUUGAUUCUAGCUUAGAAAAAGCAUUAAGGGGCGUUCAAGAUAACCCAUCCCACUGAAAGAAUGCAAACUGUCAAAACUAUGCAUAGCAUGGAGGUAGCAGAUAGAGAGAGGCUUUUCUCCCUCUUUCAUAACUCAGAGACAUCCAAUGAAGGAUUCAGGACAGACCCCCCAAAAAAGCACAUCUUCAGUUUAUAGUUAAACUGUGGAACUUACUUUUUUGCAUUACAAGCAGAUUGGUAGUGGGCCCUGCGUGUACAUAGUUUUUAUUAUUAAUUAUGAUGAUGAUGAUGAUGAUGAUGAUGAUGAUGAUGUUGUUGUUGUGCAUUUUGUGUUUUUAUAUUGUAAACCAUCAUGUGAUCUUUGAUUGAAGAAUGGUAUCUAAAUUUAAUAAACAAGAAGAAGUAGUGCUGGGCAGGGAGGAAAUGGCUGCUACUGCAGUCACUACCUGCUAGGUGAGUUGGAAGAACCUAUGUAAGACCCCCGUUGUCAAAAGUGGGGACCUUUUUCAUUGCUUGCAAACAGGACUGUGAAAUUGGCAUGGGUAUUCCUACAUUUGCUCAGCCAUAUUGAAAAGGAACAACUUCUUGCCUUAGCUCUUUGAAAUCUGCUGCUGAAUGGUUGAUAUCCCCGCCUCCCCUUGCUCAUGUGUGUGCAGAUAUCAGUGGCAUAGCGUGGGUUGCCAGUGCCCGGGGCCUCACAGGUUGAGUAGGAGGGAGACAGGCAGAGUACUCAUAUGCAUUGAACUGCCUAACAGUGUCCACAUCACCCAGGAUAUCACAUCCACAAAGAUAAGAAAAGAAGAGUUUCGUUGUCUGGAGAGGUCACUUCCUGGUUCACACAGAGAAGCUGUUUUCAAUGGAACCCAGUGAUGGAAGUGCACAGCUGUACUGAGGAAGCACCAGGUGCUGAAAUGUUGUGCUCCUAACAAUUUUGUACCUAGCGCAACCACCCCUGUGCCCCCCACCAUGCUAUGCCACUGGUAGAUAUAGGUAAAAUCUCCAGUGGAACAAGAAAUUCUAAGGUUCUAUUUCACCCUCUCUUAUAACAUUGAAGUAGAGGCUUAAAUCCAUUAAAAAAUUCCCAACUGAAAGGGCACUAAAGUGUGUGUGUGUGUGUGUGUGUGUGUGUGUGUGUGUGUAUUCUGACCUGUUAAUAAAAGACUAAAAGGUGCACAUUAAUAUAAAUAUUUAUAUUCUGCUGUGCCAUAUUAGCACUUACGGAUAAUCUAUCUCCCCUGCUAAUGGUUCUGAGUAAAAUGUGCAGUCAGUGCGGCUGACAUUUUGAGGAGUUAUUGCUGUAUUGCUUCAUCUUAGUCAUCCCCACAGCCCCUUUCUUAGUGAUUGAUAUGAGAGAGAGCGUACUGACUAAAAUAUCUAUAUUUCUUUCCCCAUAUGUGCUUCUAUAGCCUGGUGAAAGCUUUGGCUUAGCUACGAACUUUGCAGCCCAUUAAAAUCAGCAGGAGAAGACCUGGCAGGCAGGAGACAAUGACAUUCCAACUCACAAUGGAGCUGAGGUGAAAUUCAGGAGCCACGAAACUGUUAGAGCUCAGGGGGCAUUAUUGUGUGGGGAGGUGUUGUGCUGCUAUGUGUGCACUCUGUCUGGGGCUGUGUGGGAAGGAAACGGUCAACUGCCAGGAGGGAUGUUGCAGAAUUCUGACAAAAACAGAAAUGGGAGCAAGGAUGGCUAGUGUUUGCUUACAUUUGGAAUGGAAAGCAAUCUGGGAAACACAUCCACAAAGAUAUGCAGCUGGUUAUACAAUGAACGCUUGGGUUGCAAACGUGAUCCGUGUGGGAUGCACGUUCACAACCCGCAGCAGAAUGUCUGUGCUCGAGCGGGUUGCAAUUCAGUGCUUCUGCGCAUGCAUGACCCCCGAAACCCAGAAGUAACCCGUUCCGGUACUUCCAGGUUUCGGUGGGUCUGUAACCCAAAAAAACACAACCUGAAGCAUCUGUAACCCGAGAUAUGACUGUAUCCCCAUCCCAUUUGCACUGUGUUUCCUUUGUGCUGAAAUGAAUGGGGUGGAAUAAUGUAAUGACAACAUAAUUUAGGGAAUUUAGGGAAUGAAAAGUUAAGUGAUUUCUCCACAGCAGGCAGAAAACAACUUUGUUCUUGGUGGAAGAAGAAAUGCAGCAGAAAGGAGACAGUGCGGAAUGCAACAAAUACAGGGUGGGAUAGAAAAUAGUGCCUUCUUAUAUCCCUAGAUGCCAAUAAGGAUGGAAGGGUCAAUCUAUGUCUAGUCUGUGUCACUUUCAGAUAUGUUCAUUCAUAUGUCCACUCCCUUUCUUUCUGCACUAAAUCUACACUUGUAUACACACACACACACACAUAUAUACUGUAUAUAUACUGACUGUCUGUCUGUGUGUGUGUGUGUGUGUGUGUGUGUGUGUGUAUAUAUAUAUAACCAACCCAUAUUUACAAAAAGAAAAAAGAAAAUUGCUCAACGUUUUGUAUUUAAAUAUUAUUAAAAUGCUUAUCUUUAUGCAUUAUCUCACAAAAUUCACAUUGUUGUAUGUUAUCUUACACAAAAUGUGAACUUUGAACAGUUCAAUGCCAUCGCUAUCUACUCAAAACUACCAACUCAAAGGGCACUUACUCCCAGGGAAAUAUGCACCCUACAUAUGUGUGAUGCUUUAAUAUGUAUUUUGUGAAAAUUGAGUCAGAGAAGUGCAAAAUUCAAAGGAUAAUUACAUUCUGAGCAUUGCAUUACUCCAGGAAGUACAGAUCAAGUCAUCUCAUAUUGGAAUUACACACACACACACACACACACACACAAGCUUCCAGCUACCCCCACCAGCAGCAAUGAGACUAACCAUAAAAGGGGGAGAAUGGUUUCAUCCAGCAGCAUUGAGCCUCUGCAGAAACCUUUCAGAUAAUUUUUCUCCGUCCUCACAAAGAUUAUUGCUGUAAAUAAUAUUGCAAAUAAUAAAUAAAUAAAUAACAAAUAUAUUUCACCACCUGAAAAUGGGGCAGCAAUUAGCAGAGGGAAUGUUUGAUCGUGCCUACAUUUUGUGAAUGCCAGUAAGUCCUAUUUGUGAACUCCAUCUAAAAGAACAUCAGCAGGGACAGGAAGCAGGACAUUUCAACUGGUGGCUCUGGUGAAUCUCUCCCUGCUUGCCUUCUGGAGAUAAGCUAAUACAUUUGGGUUUAAGAAAGCUUUUAAGGAAGCCCUUUACAACCUAUGGAAAGGCCUCGGGAACAUAUAGAUAUUGCUGGACCAAAAUACAUGCCCUAAAAAUGUUCCUUGCUCUCUUUGCAAGAAAGUUGCUUUUUUCAUUUAGCAUGUGAGUCCCAGAGAAUCAACAUUUUCUUGUAAAACCGAACGGGGAGAGGGAGAUCUGAAGAAUUUAAAAUGUCACUUGGAGCAUCCGAAAUUGCCCUGUAGAAGAAUUUGUUCACAAGUCAACCUUUAUAAGCGCAUGAACAUGGAUUUCUCUUACUCCUGGGAAAUCAAGAGCGAUGCUAACUCUUCGCGAUGUGGUAAAGCAAGCAGUAGCCUGGAGAUAAAUACCACAAAUAGGAUGGAUGCAUUUUGCACAUAACAUAAACAAGCUGAGCUGGAAUAAGGAAAACAAAUUACAGGUCAUUCCAGGCAGCUUCAUAUUGAAGACAUCCUGUUUUGGGCAAGCAGGACUCAUUAACUCGGUGCAUUGAGCUGAGGCUCUAAAAGGGGCUGGCAGGUAGAUUAGCAUCUGAAACUGUAUGAAGUUUUGCUUGUUUGUUUGUUUAUCAUUGCAUUUCUAAGCCUUCAUUCCUCUAAGGAGUUCAAUUUAAUAUAUAUGGUUCUCCCCUGCUCUCCAUUUUACCCUCGCAACAUCCCUGUGAGGCAGGAUACGGUCCUGAGCACCCCUCAACUAAGGAAGGAUUAUAGCAGUUCCUAAGGUGCCCCAGAUACAUACACACACAAACACACACACACACACACACACACACACACAUUUCUAGAGUCUGGGCAGCUGCUCCCAGGUCUGUGACCCAUGGAGGAGUUGCGCGGUGAGUUCCCGCCUCCCCCUUGGAAAUAAAGACACAGGACACCAGCAUUUUAGGUUAAUGGGCAAGAAUUGGCCACAACUUUAUUGGUUACAGGAAUUGAGCGGUAUUGGCUUAGGCAUUGGUCCUAUCGACUAUCCGGCUUCAGCCUGAUUGCUUGAAGACCGGGAAGGGUUAACCGCCAGUAAGGGGAGUCCUGCACAUCAACUAGGAGCUCCCCCGGGGUCACCGCUUGGGGACGUGCCUUGGCCCCUCACCUCCAUAGGCUUCGGACAGGGCAACGCCUCCUGGAAUCCUUUACCGGACUACCCUUCAAUAUGGGGGAAGGUGAUGGCGCUUCCUCCCCCCCCAUCUACAUAACAAUACCCCUACCAAUGCCUGACCGCCAAUGCCAAGGAAGUUGUGACGAUUUGCUACGAGGUAGGCGAAAAACCAAAUGGCUGGAGCCAAUUUGCCAAGUGGAAAAAAAUCCUACCAGGUCCCUUGACAGCAACCAACCGAAGUCCAUAGCAAGGUCAGAGAGCCAAACCUAAAGGGUGGAAAGGGUGGGAAACCGGAGCAGCUGGAGCAAAGAAAGAGGAAAAGCCUCGGCCGCACCAGACCUAAAUAGCGCGGGCCACGCCUCCCGGGCCAGCCGAUUGGCUGGCAAGGGAGAUGAUCUGGCCGAGGAUUCCCCCAGUCUCGCGGGAGCUGCGAGUCAGCCCCUGCGCACGUGGGAGGGUGUGAAGCCCGCAACCCCACCUCCUCUCAAGCUCAGAAGUGGCUUUGUGGCAACAGUGGGACCACCACACCCCACUCCCAGGUUAUGUACCUUCAUUUGAUGGGGUGCAUGAAUGCAACCUGAGGUUUCUGCUACACUGAAACCAUAACUGCUCUUCCCUCUUCAAGCACCUCCUGGUUCUAGAAAACAGCAGGGCAAAGGAUGGAAGGGAUUCGACUGGCCUGAACAGCCUCUCUCUCCACUUCUGACAAAUCUUGCAUGCCCACCUCCAUCUCUGACUGCUCUGACCCUUCCUCUUCAUCCCACCCUGGCUCCCGCACUGUAAGCAGCACCAAACACCCCAUACGUCACAGCCCCUGCUCUCCUGGGUCAAUCCACUGCCCCCCCGCCCCCACCACACACUCGUCAGAGUCCUGCCAGUUAGACUGAGAGAUGGUGACUGGCCCAAGAACACCCACUGAGCUUCAUGGCUGAGCACAGAUUUGAACUUUGAUGCCAAGGUUAAGGGUAGCCAAUUUCUGUGUGACUGCAUAAAACUUAGGGAACAAGCUGUGCUAUCAUAAUGAUUAAGGUUUUAAAUGAUAAUUUUAGGUUAUAUGUUAAUGGCCAAGUUUUAAUUUAUAUAUUUUUUAACUGUUGCUAUAUCUGUAUUGUCCCUGUUAUAGGUAAAGGGACCCCUGACCAUUAGAUCCAGUUGCGGACGACUCUGGGGUUGCGCGCUCAUCCCGCUCUAUAGGCCAAGGGAGCCGGUGUUUGUCCGCAGACAGCUUCCAGGUCAUGUGGCCAGCAUGACUAAGCCGCUUCUGGCGAACCAGAACAGCGCACAGAAACACCGUUUACCUUCCUGCUGGAGCAGUACCUAUUUAUCUUCUUGCACUUUAACGUGCUUUCGGACUGCUAGGUUGGUAGGAGCUGGGACUGAGCAACGGGAGCUCACCCCAUCGCGGGGAUUCGAACCGCCAACCUUCUGAUAGGCAAGUCCUAGGCUCUUUGGUUUAACCCACAGCGCCACCUGUUAUACCUGUCAUACCUAAUUGCAAAUUCAAAUGUAUGACUUCCUUGAUAUUGUAUGUGGGCUGGGACUGGUCUGUGACCGAAAUAAUAAAAUUCAUUCACUUUGAUGCCACAGACUGGCUGGAUGUAGAGCUGGGGAACCUCUAAGGGAACUCCCAGAGGAAGAAGGCUCAGGGCCAGGGGAUUGGUGCUGGGAUGAUGAUGUGUGGACAGAGGGAGAAGAGGGAACUGACUGGGAGAAGGAGGCGCCGGAAGCUGAAGAGGUAACAGGCUUUAGUGAGCAGGAAGAGACUGUGGCAGAGAGCAGUCCAGACACAGAGGCAGGAAAGGCGUCAGGAGACAGAGAUGAGGCAGGCUGCUGAAGAAGCCAUGGAGUCUCCCCCUUCUGUUGGAACCAGCUCACUCCCCCACCCCUGGUCCCACAGAACUCUCAAAGAAAUGGAGCAAUGAGAGGCAAGAUGAUAAGUCUUAGACUGUUGGGGAAGGAGCCUUAGAGAGUGGUGGGAAGGUGGGAACCUUCAUUCUUUGCAACUGCUUCAUUGGGGCAAGACGUACUAAGAAGCGUUGCUGUGACCACUCAUCAUGAGCUGUUUUGUUUCUUUAUUGUUUCAUUGCUGACCUAUGACUGACUCCAGCUCCUGACAUUUGGUCUCCAAGGUCCUAGCCUAACGCUCCAACCGCUACGCCACACUACCGCUCAUCUUGUAAGGCCCACUGAAAUCACUAGGACAUACCUCUAGGAAAUGGGCAUGGAACGACGAGAUUCCUCCUCUCCGUGUAUACAGGUGUUACUGCAUCUUGGGGGCUGCCGCAUUAAGCUGUGAGCGAUCAGAGUGCUCCUACUUUUUAUUCAGAAGUCCUGUUUCCAAGUUAACAAGUCAGGACUUAUUGCCUACACAAACUCCUCAGGGAACAGGCUCCAAUUCACUCAUUGGGAUUUACUUCUGAGUAAUCACACAAUUGGACUAUGCACUUUCAAUUUGGUGACUCCAGUCCUUUCCAAAUGUGCAUUUUUUGGCUGCCUUUUCACUAAGCCCUUGGGAUCAGUCCCCGCCCCAUGCACUAAAGAAGCACAAUUUCAGUCCAUCUUAUUCCCCCCCAUACCCAGAUUAGAACCCAGCCAAGCAAUACACCCCUUUCCCUUCAAGGGGACCUUCACACCUCACUCAAAUUCAGACCCACCUCUAGUUCCCCCAGGCGAUAAACACAAGCUUUGAAUCAGCAGUACCAUUCCGUGCAUCUGCACAAAUCCAUGUAACAGAUGUGAAGAGGCUUGGGAGGGGAACUUAUUUUAGAUAAGCCAAAUAAUCUUUUCAAUUAUCUUUGACUGAAAAUAUUGUAUUUUCUUUUCCGGCAUUCAAGAGCAUUUGGGCAUAAAGCACUCGCCUAAUUAUCAUUAUCUCCUCUAUUAUGUGUUCUGAAAUAGUUUGUCAAAUAUGCUACUAUUUUGUUAUUUGGGAAGGUUUCCAAAAGCACUUUCCAGCUGCUAUAUAUCUUUGUUACUGGGUAAUGGUUGUGGCGGAGGAGUUGGAGUUAAUCCAUCAGGAAGCAAAACAACCAAACCAAACAAAAAAAGGAAGCAGGAGAUUCAUGUUGCAAGCUUCCUUUGGGGGCCAGAAGGCUCCAGGGUUCAAGGUGCCUGGGGGCAAGAAGCCCACCCCUCUAUGCUUCGUCCAUCCUGCUAAUCAAUUGUCAGUUUGUUUGUAGCAGCUGGAAACAAUCACAGUAAUCACGGUACUAGAGAACCAUCUUGCGAGUGGUGAGUUCAUGACUGAAAAGGGACCUUAGGGGCCCUGCAGAAUCAGUCCCAAGGCCCGUCUAGUCCAGUAUCCUGUUCUCACAGUGUCCAACCAGAUGCCAGGGAAACCUCCAAACAGGGCCAGAGUGCAACAGUGCUCUCCCUUCCUGUGAUUCCCAGUUACUGCAUAGCUGUCAACUUGUCCCUUUUCUUGUGAGGAAUCCUAUUUCGAAUAAGGGAAUUUCCCUUAAAAAAAGGAAACCGUUGACAGCUAUGAGUUACUGGUAUUUUGGAGGCAAACCACCCCUGACAAAUAGCUUCUUGAAAUUCUCCAAUCUUAUUUGUAUGAGGAGGGGGAGCAUGUCACCAAAUUUCUCCAGAGGGAGGGGAGGAAAUCUCCAACUGGUUCUUAGAGGUGGGUCUUGCCAUUAUCAGUAGCAAUAGCAUAGUUCUGUUCUGUUCUGCAAUUUUUGCCUAAGGGUGUGCAUUCAUUCAUGGUGUGUGGGUGUGUGUAGGUGUGUGGGUGUGGGUGUUUGCUGCCUCUGCGAGUGGCAAGAGCAGCAACUGUGAUAGCAACCUGGCCAACAUAGGGCAUUUGCCACAGAUGUUCUGGGCCAAAAAGGAAGCUCUCAGAAAUGUUAUGGGGGGGGGGGCUCCAGAGAAAUUUUGACUUGGAUCUAACCUAUAAUUAUUUUAAGCAGGAAGCAUGUUACACAGUGAUGUGAUUCACAGCCAGGGGUGAGAGGAUUUCUCCCCCAUUGUGUUUGUUUAUAUUAUAUUAUUUUAUUUUAUUUCCUCUGGCGUAAUCUUCCAUGAAUUCUUCUUCUCCUAAGUUCAGGUUCAACUAGGACAAUUUCAAAAAGUGCAAUUCCAGAUGUGGAGCACCUGCAGCUGGAUUUGGCUUUCGUUUCUUUUGGUAUCACACACACACACACACACACACACACACAAUGUUCUCCAUAUACCCAUGGAAAGACAGGAAAGAGUGGAGGGAACUGAAGCCCGUAGCAAUGCUCUCAACAUGUUUUGGAUGUUAUAAAUAAAGCAACAAAGAAUUCCUAAUUUGUUGAUUCCACAAUGCCAGUUGAUUUGGAAAUCUGCCAGAUCUGUGGAGAACUUCAGAGGAGGACAAUUCUGGAAGCCUCCAUGCUUCACCUUCUCCUGUGCCCAUAAUAAGAGAAGUUGGGGACAUCCAAUGAAGUUGAAGGUUGGAAGGUUCAUGAAUGACAAAGUAAAGUCCUUCGUCACACACAGCACAGACUUGAACCACUGAACUUGCUCCCCUGGAGGCAGUGACAGCCACCAACAUUCUGCUUCCACUGUCAGAGUCAGUAUACUUCUGAAUGCCCGUUGAUGGAAACCAUGGAAGGGGAGAAAGCUCUUAUGCUCAGGUCUUGCUUUCAGGCUUCCCAGAGGCAUAAGGCACUUUGAGAACAGGAUGCUGAACUAGCAAGACUCCACUUAUGUUCUUAUGCUUAUUCCUAGGGAUCAUGGGAGAGGCAUGAAAGCCGUUCAGAGGAGCUCAUGCUUCUGUUCAUUCUGGAGAGCAAGGCAGUUGUCCUCUGAGUACUGAUGUUCCCGCAGAUGUUGCUAAAGCCCCGAGCAUCACAAAUGCAGUCCCCAUAUCGCACAAUACUCCAUCACAGCAAUCGCAUUAGAAUUACCCUUGUUUUCAACGACUGCAGCAAGGCAAGAGUGCAGAUGCCUCACAGAGGUCAUUCACGCAAUAUUGCAUGACCUUGAUGAAUGGCUAAUUUGAUAAGAAUUCAAUUUAAAAUUCCAUUUGCUCCAACAAACCAGCAUUUUACUGCUGUUCAAUUUCCCCCCUCCUCCUAUAAGGAAAGCAAUCUUCAGAAGGAAGAUGUUUUCUGAAACCUUGAAGGUGGGGGGGGGGGAAGAGAGAGAGAGGGACUGAGGAAACUGCCUUUAUUUUCAAAGGCGCCACAUAUCAGUUUAUUUUAAAUGUAAAUUUAUUUUAAGGGUGUUUCCACACCCUUCCACACACACACGUCCACGUGAAGUAAAUCUCUUAAGCUGUCUGAGAUGAAACGGUGCUUGAUAAGAAAAUACAUUCAUUGGGCUAUUUCUGGAAAGUAAUUUAUCUGCCAUCUUUGUUUCCUGUGGGUGUUCUGUAUGUAGGGGUCCCCUUUGGGCCUGGUCUGGAGUCUCGAACUGUUUCUGGAUCCGAGUACCAGAUCACAGGCUAUAUGUAAGGGUGGCGCUGUGUGUUAAACCACAGAGCCUAGGACUUGCCGAUCAGAAGGUUGGCAAUUCGAAUCCCCGUGACGGGGUGAGCUCCUGUUGCUCGGGCCCUGCUCCUGCCAACCUAGCAGUUUGAAAGCACAUCAAAGUGCAAGUAGAUAAAUAGGUACCGCUCUGGUGGGAAGGUAAAUGGCAUUUCUGUGUGCUGCUCUGGUUCGCCAGAAGCGGCUUUGUCAUGCUGGCCACAUGACCCGGAAGCUGUACGCCGGCUCCCUCGGCCAAUAAAGUGAGAUGAGCGCCGCAACCCCAGAGUCGGUCACAACUGGACUUAAUGGUCAGGGGGCCCUUUACCUUUUACCUUUACUUAGAUCCACUUACCUGAAAGCAAGUCUUACUGAAUUCCAUGGGUCGUAUGCAAUGCUAAUCCUUCUCAGAGUUGGCGCAGUGAAAUUGACAGAAAUGAUUAACUCAGGUUGAUUACUUUCAGUGUGUCUACUCUGAGUAGGGAGUAGCUUUACAGCCAGAAAACUUUACAGUCAGGUAUAGAGGUGCACUGUAUUAAUUUAAUUUAAAACCCAAUCCAUUCUUUUCAGUGCCUUACUUAUUGAAAACCACUUACCUGAAACAAACAUGGCUUGUUCUAAACCGAUAAAAGCAGAGAUGUAUUGACAACAGACCUCUCAUUGGUGUGCUCGUUGACCUAAUUAAGAGAAUUCAGCAGCUGCGGCUAAUUUAUUUAUUUCUUAAAAGGGUCAAGUGGUUGUUUGUUAGGGGUUUUUUUUGGAAAAAAAAGAUGACAACUCUUAAAAGCUUUUCGUUUUCAAAUGUAUGAUGUUCCUAAGCUAAGCCCUUGUUUCAGCUGUAUCAAAUCUAAAUAAAUAGGAGAAGAUGAUCUGUAUUAAUAGUUCUGAAUGUAGAUCGAGAUAAUGAUGUUCUCGGGGAGGGGGGUGAUUGCCUUGAUUACAGGCUGUGCUGCAGGGAGGGGAGGCAGAAAAUUGAUGGAUAGAAAAUUUAUAUAUCAACCACGAGACAUUGGCAGAGGUUUGAAGCACUAUUUUUUUUAAAAAAAUGUAUCUUCUGAGAGAUUUGCAGUUAAAAUGCCAGGAAAUUUUCAUGAAGGCAAUUUAAAAUAAAUAAAUUGCAGACUGAGGCAGAAAUGUGGUGAAGUGAAUUUAAGUUUGGAGAAAUUGCAGGGAGUUGGACUAGAUUAGGCAUCGGACUACAACUCCCAUCAUCCCUAGCUAACAGGACCAGUGGUCAGGGAUGAUGGGAAUUGUAGUCCCAAAACAGCUGGAGACCCACGUUUGGGGGUGUCUGGACUAGAUGGUCCUUUGGAUCCCUCCUGACUCUACAACUGUAGGGCUCUAUGAAAUGAGAGAGACAGUAGCUGAAUCCUGGCCCAAAGCCGUACAGUAUAGGCAGACAGACCUAAUCACUGACCUCCAGGAUGACUGAAUAAAUUGGACCCAAUCCCUGCCUAGUUUGGCUUGGAGGGUCACCUUAAAUUGUCUAGCUAUUGGAAUACAGCAAUGCAUUCCAUGUGGGGCUUCUUUUGUGCUUGAUCUAGAAACUGCAGUUGGUGCAGAAUGCUGCAGCACAGCCGGUCACAAGAGGGAGACCCUGUCAUCAUAUACUGCUUUGCUGAGAAAUUUGGGCUGGGUGCUGAGUGGCCUAGUUUGCAGACCCUCCAAGGCUCCCUAUUUUCCAGGGACAGUCCCUGAUUUAGUCCUGGAAUGUCCUGCUUUUCCUUAGGUAAAGGUAAAGGGAUCCCUGACCAUUAAGUCCAGUCGUGGCCGACUCUGGGGUUGCGGUGCUCAUCUCGCUUUAUUGGCCAAGGGAGCCGGCGUACAGCUUCCGGGUCAUGUGGCCAGCAUGACUAAGCCACUUCUGGCAAACCAGAGCAGCGCACGGAAACGCUGUUUACCUUCCCGCCGGAGCGGUACCUAUUUAUCUACUUGCACUUUGAGGUGCUUUCGAACUGCUAGGUUGGCAGGAGCAGGGACCAAGCAACGGGAGCUCACCCCGUUGCAGGGAUUCGAACCACUGACUUUCUGAUCGGCAAGCCCUAGCCUCUGUGGUUUAACCCACAGCGCCACCUGCGUCCCUGCUUUUCCUUAGGAUGCCCCUAUUUUCAUCAGAGAAAUGUUGGAGGGUUAUGCGACCCCUGAGCCAAGGAGAUGAGUAGCUAUACAUCUGAAGGCAGCCCUGUAUAGGGGAGAUUUUUUUUAACGUGGUGGAGAUAAUUCAUGAUGUGGAGAACGUAUGUAGACAGAAGUUUGCUAGAAUACUAAAAUUGGGGACAUCCAGUGAAAAUUCAGGGCAGAGAAAAGGAAGGUGUUGUUGUUUUUCAAGUUGUGAAAUUCACUCCCACAAGAAGUGGCCAACUUGGUUGGUUUUACAAGACGAUAACACAAAUUCCUGAAAGAUAAGCCUGUCAGUGGCUACUAGCUACAACAGAGGCAGUAAGCCUCUUAAUACCAAUUGCUGAGAAUCACAAAUGGGGAGCACUGUUGCACUCAGUUCCUGCUUCCUCUGGGACAUCUGGUUGGCUGCUGUGAGAACAGGAUGCUGGACUAGAUGGGCCUUUUGCCUAAAUCCUGCAAGGCACUUCUUAAGUCCUCCCCCCCCUUGUUUGUUUUCUGAAUCUCACAAAGGAACUGCUUUCCACAUGCUUGCUUCCACUCAUGGAUAGAAUACAAAGUGUCAGCCUUCCUGCUGCCCAGAUGUUUCCCGAACCUCACAUAGCGGUACACAAAUGUUGACUUGAGUGCUGUUUUGGAGGCUGAAAUCUCCUUGUGUGAAUCCCGAGAUGAUUCAUUCAGGUAAACAACAGACUGCAUCACGGUUGUGCAUUUUGAGAUUGGAAAGGAAGGAGAAACAGCUCUGAGUUCUCCCUGCCAUGUUGCAAGGUCCCAGCUGCUUGCCGUCCAGAUAAUGGCCAAGGAAGUAAAAGAGGAACAUGACGAGGGGAAAGGGCUCUUGUGCUCGUGUUCAGCUUCCUGGUUUCCUACAGGUAUCUGGAUGGCCACUGGAUGCUGGACCAGAUGGGUCAUCAACCUGGUCCAGCAGACUAUUCUUAUGUUCUUACAUUUUUAUUUACAGUGAUUUUUGAACUGUCAUUUUGGUCCCAGGCAGGUGUGUUGUUGUCAGUUGCAUUUUACACCGGAGUGACUCACAGGAUCCAUCUGACAUUGCUCUGCUGAUGCUUAUAGUUGCUAAGAAAAAUGAGGUGGGAAGAGCUCAACCCACUAUGAUUGUUGGAGGAAUCCUUUGAAAAUGGACUGUUAAUCAGAUUUCCUUCUGCCUGCCUAUCUGAUCCCCACUGCUGUUACAAAGACUCUUGCACCUUUGUUCUCCACAGCAAACUUUAUAUGUUAAUUGUUAUGUGACUGCUUUGCAAUACACUUUUUUUAACAUAGCCAUUCAUGUAUUCAGGUGCUGCUUUCUUUUCUUAUUUCUAAGUGUUGUUUGUUGCCAAAGGCAGACUAUAUGCACUAAGGCUGCACUCCUAUCCAUAUCUCUGCAGAAAUAAAUCCCACGGAAUUCGGUGAGGCUCACUCACUUGUAUGUUUAAUCUGCUUCCUGUUGUGAAUUUUCAGAUCCAAUGGACUGCAUUGCUCGUUGUUGUUCUUUCCACAUGAAAACAGAACACAGGCUUGUGCAAAAUAGUCCUGGAAUGUGCAAAAUAAACCAAUUGCACCAAAAUGGAAAAUGGUGGGAGAGGUCCAACCACACAGGAGGAACCUUCCAAGGUGUGUGGUUUUUCCCCCCAGAAAAGACCUAGAGCUGGCUCUGGCCCCAGAGGUAUGACUUGAAAGCACACAGUGCAACAAUCUCACAGAAGCUAUGCAGAUCUGGCUCAGCUAAGUGCAUGGAUGGAAAACCACAUGGGACCCCCUUGAACUCUAAGGAGGAGAAAGAAAAAACAGGAUGCAAGUAAAUUUACAUUCAAAAUCUCAAUCUCUCUCUAUCUCUCUCUGUGUGUAUGUGUAUCUUGAAGGAGCCUGACUUAGAGUGGGAGUCAUCCAGGAACAGGGAUGAUAGAGAAUGCUUCUCCAAAUCUCCUUCAGUGAACAGAUAGUUGUAGAACACUGGAAAUCUAAGGAGGCUCCAUGUAACAGCAGGGCUGGGGAACCUCUGGUCCUCUAGAUGUUGCCACUGUCCGGACCCCCGUGCCCAUUGGCCAGGAAUAAUGGUUGUUGCAGUCCAACAACAUCUUGAGGGCCACAGGGCCCCCAUCUCUGAAGAACAGAAUGCUGGAAACAGGACAUGAAACUUGGGCUGAAUAAUUAAAUCACUGAAUGCUAUACACACGGACACCUGGAUAAGCGUUUUAGAUGUUUUAGAAUGCAAAAUUCCUUAUUUAUUUAUUUCCCUGACUUCAUCAAUUUUCCAUACAAAGCGGCAUACGAAAUUUUAACACAAAAUAAAGCAUGCAGUAUGUAUGCAAUUACUACGGAUAAGUACUAAAAAAUCAGCAGUGACUGAAAUACAAUGAUAACAGCCCAAAUUGAUCUGAAACUAAUUUUUAGUCAAAUCUGGAGAAAGCAGGAACCUUCAGCUGCCACUUAAAAGAAGAGAGAAGAAGAGUUUGGAUUUGAUAUCCCGCCUUUCACUCCCUUUAAGGAGUCUCAAAGCAGCUAACAUUCUCCUUUCCCUUCCUCCCCCACAGCAAACACUCUGUGGGGUGAGUGGGGCUGAGAGACUUCAAAGAAGUGUGACUGGCCCAAGGUCACCCAGCAGCUGCAUGUGGAGGAGCGGAGACGCGAACCCGGUUCCCCAGAUUAGGAGUCUACCGCUCUUAACCACUACACCACACUGGCUCUCAAGAUUGUAAUGUAGGUGCUGAGGAACUAUGUCAUUCCAAAGUCGAGGCACCUUCACCCCAAAGACCUUGUCACUUGUAGCUUAAGCUUCCCACCAGACAUCUGAAAGUAGAAGAAUCUUGCACAAAUCAUCAGCUGUCGGCAGGUUUGUGUGGGAUAAGGAGGUUCUGAGCUUAAGUAAAUUGUGAUCUUGAAUUGAACCCCCCAGCCAAAGAAACAGAAAGCCAGAGACGAUCUUUCAACAUGGUGAAGUACAUUUCUUAUGGUAUAUCCUGGUAAACAACCUGGCCACUGUUUUGAACCAACUGUCAGUUACCAACACUUUCUGUAGGCAACCCCAAAAUCUAACAUUAGAGCCAUUGAGAUAACUCAUCAGCUGUGAUUUGGAUCAUGCCUACUGCAUGUUUUGAAGAGGAAAUGGAUCUUACAUUUUAGCAUGUCCCUGACAAGAAGAUGCCCUUAUGAAGAGUGGUUUUGCUCAGACAAUGAGCUCCUGAUUGAAGCUCUUCUUGGGAGUCAUCUAACAGCAUUCUGCAUGAGAUCUGCAACCGAAUUAGUGUGCACAAUCUGAAGAAGAAGGAGACUCACCAGAGUAUUUCAGAAAAUUGACUGAAAAUUGACCCUAAAUGCAUUUACCUGAAAGUCAUCCCACGGAAUACAGUGGGACUUCUUAGUAGAUGUAAACUCUGCCUCUUUGGGUUCUACAAAGCUUAGUUGGAAGAAAAGUGUGCAACGGUUAAAAGUGAACCAUUUUUAUUUAAGUUGGAACCACAGAACAAUGCAGCAAUUGCCCAUAGAGAGCUAAUAAAUGCAUCAAUACGUCGUCUGAAACAUGAGCAAUGCAAGCAAUAGUUCCACUGAACCCAAAGAAGGAAACUUGGCCCAGCAGUUGCUUCUGUGCAAAGAACUUGAGUCCCAAAGCACAUCAAGAAACAACAGCAAAUGGAAACCUUAUAAAUUCAACAUGAAGGGCAUCACUCUGGAAUAACAAAACAAAAAGCCCAGAGUUGGCUUUACUUAAUCUUUACCUAGGGGACAAUAUAAAUCUGCAUUUUAAGGAUCUUAUUGACCAGCUUUUAUUAGCACCCAGGCUAGUACUAGCUAGAUAUUGGAAAUCCUUGGAAGGUGUGACAAUGACCACAUGGCAUAAAAAUGCCUGGCAAUUAGCCCUGUUAGAAAAUAUUAUCCACUAAACUAAAAAUAGUAAGGAGAAUGAAACAAAAAGUCACUUUUUGGGUGGGUUGGCUGACCUCACAUCUUCAGAAAGGGUGGGAGUGUGGGUUUUGAUCUAAUACUGUUUCUCGCUAUUUUGUAAUGUAAGAAAAUAAUAACAUAUGUUUUUCAAAGAAAUGGAAGGAUAAAUUAAGCAUGAAGGACAUAGUUCUGGAAUAACGGAACAUUCAUGGCAAAUCAUAUCAAACUUACCAAAAAUAUGAUUUUUUCCCAUUCCUGGCUUAUUAUUAUUAAUCACCUUCCAUAUAUGCGCCUCAAGCUGAUGUACACCAGCAUAAUAAAACAGCACAGAAAACAAGAGCGAAUGACCUUUAAAAACAAUGCAAAGCAGAGCCCCCCUGGUAAGAGACCUAGUUAUCCAGCUGCGAGAGCUUAUCAGGAGAAAAAUGUCUUCCACUAUUUCGUGAAAAGUGCAGGCAGUGGGUGCCUCUUGUAUCUUGAGAGGAAUGCUACUCCACGAAACGGGCUGACACAUGAAAGCCCUACUCCAAGUUACUAUGGAGCAGGUUUCUGAUAUAUUUUGGAACUUGCAAAAGAAGUUGCCCUGCAGACCGCAGUGACCUCUAAGGAAGAAGGUGGCCUCUAAGCAGCAUGGUCCUGAAUUGUAUAGAGUCUUAUAGGUUACCUUACACCUGGCUUGGCAGCAUAUUAGCCAUGCAUUGUGUUGUGAGUUGGAAGGGGUAGGCUGCAUGCUUGAGUCCUUUCUAAUAAUAAUAAUACUUUCAUUAUUUAUACCCCACUCAUCUGACUGGGUUUAAAAAUUCCUGGAUCCUGCAAGGGUAAAAUCUAAUGGAGGAUCCCAAUGUUGAAACAGCCAGGCCAGCUUCUUGGUAAACUGAAGUGUAGGUGGGUUCCCACAAGGCAAGACACAGUGAUAACAGGAAGAAUCUUUAUUGAACUAACAGAACUGGACAACAGGGGCAAAGCAACUGCUUAUAUACAUUUCUGAAGGCCUGGGCCACUCCCACUCCCAAUGUGAUUGGCUGUCUAAACUUCCAAGCUGCGAAUCAUAACUCAGAGUUUAAGGGCCAAUGGCAGAGGCCCAAAUUCUGAAAUGUUCUGUGAUUGGAUAUCAUGUAUCAAUUCAGAACACAGGGGCUCAGAAUCCUUAGUCCAGACUCAAGCUCAGGCAGACACAGACCACUGAAUACAUAACAGAAAUGUCUCCCUGAGUAUAGAUUAUUAAAGUAGCAAAGGAAGUGGCUCUGGCCCGGAGAGCAAAUGGUGGGCCUAGGGCUUUUUUUCAGUUCCAUCACCUCUCAGAUGGGAGCCAUUGCCAUAAUAAGAGGACAAGUGAAGCAUUAUCUUAUAGUGAGUUCCAGCAACUCUUUUUCUAGAAAAAUAGCAGUGGGUGGGCCACCCCUACCUCUACCUCACUGCUUGUUAGAAGGACAAGAGCCAGAGUUUUAGUGUGUAAGCUAGAAGUUAGGAGCAGGAAGCAGGUUGGGCAGCUGAGAGACAGAGUCAUGCCUGAUUUCUGCUGAGAUCCAAGGCUGCAGCUAUGGGACAAGUAAGACCCUCUUGGGGUGUUAAUGCUGUGAGCCCCUCCAAUGUAGGCUCGGGUUGUAUAAAUGUGAAAAUAAACCAUAUAUCCUAAAGACACCACAGUCUCCGCUGUCCCUCAUUCUGAGGAAACCAAACGCUAGAUAAGAGCAGACCCUACAAGUAUCCCUGUUUUCCAGGGACAGUCCCAGGUUUACAGAAGCUGUCCCGGUUUCUGAUUUGAUUUCAUAAUGUCCCACUUUCAAUCAAUCAAUCUUUAUUGCGGUCAAAGACCAGACAGCAAAAUUAACAACAGCAACAUACACUUCAAAUGUCCCGCUUUUCCUUGGGACAUACCUAUUUUCACCGGAUAAAUGUUGGAGGGUAUGGAGUUAUGUGACCCCCAAGCCAAGGAGAUAACUAACUAAACAACCUUCAGAAGACAUCUGAAGGAUGUACCUGUAUAGGGAAGUUUUUAAAUGUUUUAUUAUGUAUAUAUAUAUAUAUAUUGUUGGAAGCUGCACAGAGUGACUGGGGCAACCCAGUCAGAUAGGAUGUUGUUGUUGUUGUUGUUGUUGCUGCUGUUGUUGUUGAAUGUUGAAGAGUAUGUAAGCAUCUGGAUCACCUAGAAGCUCCAACAGUUCAGAGUUUGGGUGUCUUUCUGAUCUAUGGGCCUGUCAACCAAUGAUCCAAGUAGCCCAGUGAGACUUUUAUCACUGAGGGUGGCUGGGUGUGAAGCUCAUAGGGCAAAAUGGCCCUCAACUCUUAAGGCCAGGGUCUUUUAAAGGCCCCGUCCCCCUGCGGGGUCUUGUAGGAUAUUCCCAGUUCCAUGAGAUGUGGCGAGAGCACCACUGUGAGAUGAAGAAGCCCUGCCUCCCCAUUGCUUCAAGAAGAAGAAGAGGAGGAGGAGGAGGAGGAGGAGGAGGAGGAGGAUUUGAUAUCCUGCUUUAUCACUACCUGAAGGAUUCUCAAAGCAGCUUACAUUCUCCUUUCCCUUCCUCCCCCACAACAAACAGUCUGUGAAGUGAGUGGGGCUGAGAGACUUCAGAGAAGUGUGACUAGCCCAAGGUCAUCCAGCAGCUGCAUGUGGAGGAGCAGAGAUGCGAACCCGGUUCACCAGAUUACGAGUCUACCGCUCUUAACCACUACACCACACUGGUUCCUGAGCCCCUGCAGUCCCAGGCAAAGUCAAUCACAAGGAGACAUGCACCGGACCUGACUAAAAAAAGGAGAAAAAAUUCAACAGGACUCUUUGGAAACCCACUUGUUUUGUAGGGUGCAGGGGUAGGAGGUGGAUGAGGCUCACGCAGCACUCGUUACCUUCACCAGAGAUGGAGAGCUAAAGUAUUUUCAAAGCAAGGAAGAAAAACCUGUCAUGGAUACAGAGUCAUACCAAAGCCAUGAAGAGCACUUCAAUAUAUAUCUGACAGUGGCCUUGCUAUCAAGAAUGCUUGUGAAGGACUUGCUGGAGAGUACCAGCUUGUUUAUCAGCAAAAUGAAUCCUGCGUGCUUCAAUUCUUCCUUAACAUACCUGUUUCAGGUUCAGGAUGCACACAUUUCUGGGUCUACAGCACACUCGGGAUUGUCAUCGUUUGGCUGCUGUGUUGCAUAAUCUAACAAAAAACAAAGAGAAGAAAACUCCAUUUAACCUUGCUGCUUAGCAAAUGGACCUCUGCUUCCUGGGUCAUCAGAGGUGCAAGAAAAGUGGAAGAGGUGCAUCCAGCAGAGAAAAUGGAGACUCUCUUUUCCCUGGGAACAAAAAACUUCACAAUGUUUGGCUGCAGAGCAGAAGCUGCAGGAUCUUGACCUCUCUGUGUCUUAGAAGUAUUGAUUGUUGGUUUUUUUUUAAUCUUUAGUACAGUAUAGAUCUUACUGUGAUUUAUGUGGGAACUGUUCGGUUUGGUUGAGUAUUUGCUUAAUGACUACAGUGGUACCUCGGGUUAAGUACUUAAUUCGUUCUGGAGGUCCGUUCUUAACCUGAAACUGUUCUUAACCUGAAGCACCACUUUAGCUAAUGGGGCCUCCUGCUGCCGCCGCGCCACCGGAGCACAAUUUCUGUUCUCAUCCUGAAGCAAAGUUCUUAACCUGAAGCACUAUUUCUGGGUUAGAGAAGUCUGUAACCUGAAGCGUAUGUAACCUGAAGCGUAUGUAACCCGAGGUAGCACUGUACUUUUGUUAUGGUGUAGUUAUGGUGUAGUUAUAUAUUUUUUCAUAUUGUAAGCUGCCUUCAGCAUAGUUUGAACUGUGGAAAGGCGGCAUACAAAUAAAAUUUAUGUAUACAAAGACUUGAAUAAAAAAGCAGACUGAUCUCAGAAACAAGAACCACAAGAAAGUGGAUUGUUUGACGCCAGAGAGUGAGUCAAUUUUAUUAGCAUCCUGAACAUGGUAGUCUUUAAUCUCUAAGCCCCGAAUCCACUUUAAAUAUGUCAACAUUACAAUGUCAAACUCCACUAUUAAAUAAUUUUUGUUGUAAGCCAUGAAUCAUAAGUCAUGAUUCAUCAAUGUAGGUGACAAUGCUGAACUUGAAAAGCUCUUAAAGGUAAUCCAGUGUUCCAAUUUAAGGUAGUUAUGUUGAUACUUUGGGUGUUCUGCCUGAAAGUUACGAUAGCCGAUGAAACAAAAUCAAACCAUCAAAGAUAAGGCCUUCAGGAUCAAGCUUAAUUUCCUUUCUGUUUGAGAAUAUUGCAAUAAAUUACUUAUUUAACAGAAAGCUGAGAACAUCACACAGUGGCAUUUCAGAUAUUUCUCCCUUGAUCAUUUAAUACCAUUUUCUCUCAGCUUCCUUUUUUAUCAUUACGCUGUAGGCAGAAUUUUAAUUAUAAUAUUUAUGCAAAUGAUGUUUGUAUAAUCAUAUUUGAAAAGAGUGUGUGGAUCGGAUUUUCCAACCAAUUUAUCUAAAUGCAAGCUUUAAACUUUCCCUUAAUCACUGUCAGGAACACUCGCCUUCCCAAUUCGUCAUUGCAGGCACUUCCCAUUAAAAACAGAGCGUUAAGCCUCACUACUACUACUCUUGGACCAGACAAGGACAAGCUGGAUUUUCAGCUGAUGGGUUUAACAACUUUACAGUGAAUUGAAAUAUCCUUCAACUGGAGUGAACUGCUGCUGUUAUUCCCCAUCGCCUUCCUUUGAGAACCAAGCCAGAUUCAUAGAGACAAAAGGGAUCUCAAAUUGCAGGGAAUCCACUGGUAGACCAUUCCUGAUACGUGGCCAUCCAGUCUCUGCUCAAAAACUUCUCAUGUAGAAUAGCUCACCACAUGCCAAGCAAACGGUUCCACUGUAGAACAGCUUGUAAUAUUGGGGUGUUAUUUCCUUGGGCUUAGUCAAUUUCCUCUUUCUCAUAAGUUGAUUUUUUUCCUAUUUCUCUGGAGCAGAGAAAAUGAAUUUGUAUGACAGACCUUCAAAUAUCCUCUCUUAAUUAGGGCUCUGUAUGUACACACAUGCACACACCAAUCUAGGACAUGAUCAGGUACUCAGUAUCGGCCCUGAUGUGGGAACCGGCUGAUAAGCAGAGAAUGCAAUCCUGCCGGGAUCUGCCCUUUAUAACAUUUUCUGCCUUCCUCUGGACAUGUUCCAGAAUGGACAGGGCUUCCUUAGAGGAAGAAGAUUCCAUCACUGGUCAUAGGGGCCAACUCCUAGGGGCCGAGCGGCCUUUGCCCCCCCAAUAAAAUAUUUGAGGAGGCUGCCCCCCAAAGUUGAUGGGCAUUGCCAUGCAAAAGGUGUCCGCGCACCACAUCAUGUGAUUCAUUAUGGGGGGUAGGGCUUACUUGCCUCCCUUAUUUUGUUUAAGUUGGCACCCCUGACAUUGGGUGAUGUACCGAUCAACCUUUUUUAAAGCUAUUCAAAGGAAACAUAACACAUCUACAAUCGGAGUCUGAAUCCUUUAUCUGGUGAGAGCCAGAAAACAGUAUAGACAACACUGAACUAGAUAGACCAGGGGUAGGCAACCUAAGGCCCAGGGGCCAGAUCAGGCCCAAUCACCUUCUCAAUCCGGCCCGCAGACGGUCCGGGAAUCAGCAUGUUUUUACAUGAGUAGAAUGUGUCCUUUUAUUUAAAAUGCAUCUCUGGGUUAUUUGUGGGGCAUAGGAAUUUGUUCAUAUUUUUUUUUCAAAAUAUAGUCUGGCCCACCACAUGGCCUGAAGGAAGGUGGACCAACCCACGGCUGAAAAAGGUUGCUGACCCCUGAGAUAGACCAAUGGCCUAACUCAGUAUCAAGCAACUUCCUGAGUACCUGUUCCCACCACAGCCAGUUCCAUGGACCACCAGAAUGAAGCUCUACCAAACACUAAGGAUCCAUGGACCACACUAGGAUAGAGUAAUCUUGGGGAGGACAUACUUGGCUGGCACUCUGGACAGGAGCACGUCAUCCUGUAAUAUUUUGUGGCAGAGCCCACCUAUGCUCAUCUAAAGGGGGAAAUGUCCAUAUCUGCUGGGGGGGGGGAAUCACAUGAGGAGUAGCAGGUGUUGCAUUUGCUUCCUUACACUCCAGCUGCUCUGUCCCACAUUGUUGUCUCUCAACCGGGACAAUCCCCCUGGGUGAAAAGUCAUUGGCAUGUCCCAAUUGGCAGCAUAAAUAAAACCAUGAUGAGAUUUCACUGAUUGCCUAUUAAAGCCCCACAGUGCUAGAUACCAUGCGCUCCCCCAUAAAGGAGGCUUCCGAAAGGAGGGCAGGAACAGGCGACAUUUUAAUGCCAUUAGAGAAAUUGGCCUCUCCAACACCUUUUAACAUGAUUAACAGUUAUGGGGUCUUAGGAGGGGGCUUUUUCUUCCUUUUUUUUUUUUUUUUUAAGUGGCAGUUAAAAGAGAACAUUACGGUGCCAUUUAGACAGAGUUAUAGCAACCAGAAAGCACAGAGAAGUUCCACCAUGUGGGCUAGGCAAAUAUCUGUUGAAGGUGAAAUCAUGGAAUUAUGGGUGCUUUUGACAUUGUAAGUUGCCUUUGGUUGUUCUUCUUGGCAAAUGUGGCCUUUGGGAGUAGCGCUGGAGAAGAAAUUUGCAUUUAUAGGUGAGCCUACUUUGUGAAACAAUAUGCAAACUGAAACACCGCUAUGCUUCAAAAUCCACACUUUUUGCUGUGAAAAUUUUGUUUUAUUUUAUUAUUCAUUAAAUUUAUAUGCCACCCUUCACCCAAGGAUCACAGAGGGGCUUACAUACCGCCUCUCCCGGUAUGCCCCACGGAGAGCCUCAAGGUCCAUAAAUAGCAACACCCUAGUGGUCCUGGGCCCUAAGGAAGUUAGAUUAGCCUCAACCAGAGCCAGGGCCUUUUCAACUCUGGCUCCGGCCUGGUGGAACGUUCUGCCUCAUGAGACCAGGGCCCUGCAGGAUCUGAUUUCUUUCUGCAGGGCCUGUAAGACAGAGUUGUUCCACCUGGCCUUUGGCUUGGAGCCAAUUUUAUUCCCUCCCCCUCUUUCUUCUUUUUCCUUUCUCCUCCUGUGAUGAGGCUGUAUUUUAAUGUUUUAAUAUUUUAAUGUUGUAUUUUAAUCUUGUUUUUAAGUUGUAUUCAUUCAACUAGUUUUUAUUAUUGCUUGUUAGCCGCCCUGAGCCUGGCCUUGGCAAGGGAGGGCAAGGUAUAAAUAAAAAUUAUUAUUAUUAUUAUUAUUAUUAUUAUUAUUAUCUGUUGCCAUCCAUUUUGAGAGAUAAUGGAGUGUGCCUCCGGGAGCAAAGUCAAACCACUGCUUUAGCAGCCCUGAAGAUAUCAUGCAAGGCAGAGGAGACUUAGGAUCUGGUGAGGGUAGCUGAUGGGUCUCAAACCCUUACUCAGUUAGGGACUUCACCUGCAUGCAAAGACUGGCUACGGCAGAUUGAGCAGUCAAGACCAAUCGUGGGUCCAACGGUCAUGAAAGUGGUUUCUGCACUUGCUGUAGAAGGAAGUGAGGGGCAGAUGGGGCUCAUCAACCUGAUCCUCUUUUUACAGCGUGGAAACUCCAAAAUGCAUAACAAACAAACAAAACCUACCCACCAUUUAAAAAGGCCAUCGAUAAUUUAAUUAGACAAAGGUCUGGGAGAAGAGAAAUGUUUUUGCCUGGCACUUGAAGAUAUGUAAUGAAGGCGCCAGAAGAGUCUCUCUCUAAAAACAAUGGGAAAUAAACACCUGAAAUCAUAGAACUGUGGAUUGGAAAGGACCCUAAGGGCAGGAGUCAUAGCUAAAGAACCCUAGGCCACCCAACAACUGUUUAAACAUCUCCAAUGUAGGAGCAUUUGUGACUUUCCAAGGGAGCCUGUUCCACUAUCUAACAACUCUCAAAGAGCUAAAAUAAGCAGCACACAGCUUCCCUCAGAUGAUCCCUUAAUUCAGUACUCAUCCUGAUUAUAGUGAUGAUAGUUAGACCAUCCUGAUGAUAGUUAGACCAGGGGUUGGCAAGGCUUACUGGGCAUGGGCCAGAUCACUCCCGCGGAGAUCCUCCAUGGGCUGGACUGGUGCAGUGUGAUGCCGGAAAUCGCAUGUCUGCGCAUGUCCAGAUGCCAAAAAUCAUGCCUGCGCAGAAGUGAUUUUCGGCGUCUGGGCAUGCACAGAAGUGAUUUCCGGAGCUGUGGAAAAGAGUCCCCGCACAGCGCUGUGCCAGUUUAGCACAGCACGCGGGGACUCGCCGAGCGGGCGGCUUGAUUCGGGGGCGGCUCAAGGGCCAGUUAAGCAACCCUCAUGGGCUGCUUCUGGCCCAUGGGCCCUAGGUUGCCGACCUCUGAUUUAGACUGUAUGUCCAGUCUCUGAGCAUUUGCUCCUAUUCACUUAUGCGGAGCUUAUACAACAAUGAGAAUUUACCCUUCUCAUUAAUCAUUCAUUCGUCUCACAGUUUUCAGCGCAUUUUCCCAUCACUUUCCAAACAGCAAAAAAAAAAGGCAUUAAAAAGUGAAUUUGUUGUGCUAGAGCAACAAGAGCACCUUAAUGGUACAAAUCUAAAGUUCUGAUGUAUGCUUGCAUCCCUCCUCACAGUCUGGAGGCACCCACCUAUACAGGGGUUCCUCAUUGGCAAGGCAGGUGCACUCUGCACAUGCCCAUGCAUUUUACUUCUGAGGUCCUGAGUUCCGAAUUAAUUUUUUCAUACUGCAGGGCAUGAACUUGUUUUCCAUGUCUAGGCUCUUUUCAGUCCCAUGCACAGUCCCAUCAAACACUUAGGGACACCCUGAGACAUUCAGCAAAAUGACUUCAGCCAGCCCCAGCCCAGCUGGCUUAUUGUUGGGAAUUUGUAGAACCUGCUCCAUUUAGCCAAAGCAUUGCUUCAUUAGCAUGCAUCCCAGGUACUGUGGAAAAGGUGAGGAGAGAGGGUUGGGGUGGGGGUGGGGAGGAGGUAAUCAGUGUGCCACAAGAAGAAUACACUUGUUAAUAAGGCAGAGAUAGAAGAAGAGAAAUGGCAAUGCAAUAACCCCUGUCAAUUUGUCUCCAAGCGCAGCCUUCCAGCAAUCUAUAUCUAACUGGAAUACAAGUACCAGCCAGCCAUAAUUAGCCUUUUAGCAAUCCAGCCAUCACACUGCAACCAGUGCACUACUGCGUUAAGACAAUGAAACACGUCUUCAGUCAAUGUCUGUAUCCAGAUUUGGAGUCUGUGUUCCCCAGCCCAGGCACCUCGAGGUCACUCGCUGGAUAAAUCAGCCAGCGUAAUGUUCCUUCUCUGUUGGCCAAGCAAAGGAGAAAAAAAAGGGCAAACGACUUACAUUUAGACCAAACCUGGCCAGCCCAGAGGCUUCAGGUGGACUGUUAGUUGCUGGGACUGAUGCUGUGCAAUCGUGAUUUACAGCCAGAAUUAUUUUGAUACAUGGUGGUGUUUUUCAAGUGGGAGGGGUUGCUCAGUUCAGAAAUGCAUCUGACUCUUAUAAGCUGGGAUAAUUCGUUUUCUAAAUCAGGUUUUCUAAUUCAACAACUGUGCAGAUGACAGAGACCUUUGAAAUGUUCUCAUGGGAACCUGCACCCUCAAAUUAGUGAGUCACCAGAUUAAGGGUUUUGCCCAACUCAGUUUUACUCCGAGUGAAUCCAUUGAAAUUAAUGGACCCUAGUCAGCCAUACCCAUUAUUUUAUAUAGUUCUACUUUGAGCAGGAAAAGCAUUGGAUAUCUAACCCUUUGUGCCUGCAAAACCUUCUAAAUGACCUGCAAACACAAUCCCAAGUGGAGAGUCUCAGUAGGAUCAAGAUAACGUCCCCACACAUAAACAAACACAUUUUCUUUUAUUAUGAUUAAAUAUGUUGCAUACUGAGCAACUCAGUUAUUAUGUAGCCUCCUCCCUCCCUCUUCCUCUCUGGGAGUCUUUGUCUCGGCUUUGAUGAAUUGAGCUAGGCAACUCCUCUGACUAAGAUGGAUGGGAGUCUUAAAUGAUAUCAACUGAACCAAGUGGCUGAUUUGUGUAUGCCCCCAUUCAGGAUUAAACUAAUAAGAUGUUCAUUUAUGGCUCUAUUACUGAGAUGUGUAACCACCAGCAGCAAGGGGUGGGGCUGGUCAAGUGUAAGUGUGUGUGUGUGUGUGUGUGUGUGUGUGUGUGUGUGUGUUUGUAGAAUUGUAGAGUUGGAAGGGACCCCAGUGAUCACCUAAUACAAAUACCUAAUACCUGCAGUGCUGGAAUCCAUAGGAGCCAACUCAUAGGGGCUGAGGUCCCUUUGACCCCCCUCCCAAUAAAAUAUUUGAGGGUGCCCUCCGAUAUGAUGACCAUUGCCAUUCAAAUGCUGUAUGUCCACUGCAUCUUGUAAUUGAUUAUGUGGAGCGGGGCUUACCUGCUCCCCCUCAUAUGGGAGCGGGUAGCUUGUGGUCUAAACUACUGAGCCCCUUGGGCUUGCCAAUUGGAAGGUCGGCGGUUCAAAUCCCCGCGACAGGGUGAGUUCCCGUUGCUUUGUCCCAACUCCUGCCAACCUAGCAGUUCAAAAGCAUGCAAGUGCAAGUAGAUAAAUAGGUACCACUGCCGCAGGAAGGUAAACGAUACUCUCUGGUUUCCAUCACGGUGUCCUGUUGCGCCAGAAGUGGCUUAGUCAUGCUGGCCACAUGAACCAGAAAGCUGUCUGUGGACAAAUGCCAGCUCCCUCGGCCUGAAAAGCAAGAUGGGCGCCGCAACCCUGUAGUCACCUUUGACUGGACUUAACCAUCCAGGGGUCCUUUACCUUUAUCUUUUUUACUUGCCCCCUCAUAUUUUAUUCAAGUUGGCAUUCUUGUUUCCAUCACAACUAAGGAAUCCCUGGCAGAUGACCACCCAACAUUUGUUUUUAAAAACCCAGGGAAGGAGGUAGUCUUCCGCCAAACAACUCUUACUGUCAGAAAGUCCGCUACGUAAAAGGUCUGUCCAGAACUUGAUGCAAAACAUUUUAAAUAUACCAUAUACACAGCAUACAUAUAUUGCAGCAAAUGCAAUGGGGAUGAAACGGUUGAAAUAUUUUAACAUUUAUCCGAAGUCAACAGUGGAUAUGAAGUCUCUUCUAUAUUCUUGGGGUCAUUUGAGUAGCUGAUGUAGCAGCUGUCUCAGGUAAUCUUGUAGAAAAUUGGCUCUUUCCCUUAAUGUGCAGCACACUUCCAAGGCAAGAGAAACAAUGAGACGAGACUUCACCGGGUGCCCUCAGGGUGUUGUCUGUGUGGUACAGACGAACUGCUCUUUGCCCUGCUAAGUCUGGCACCUCUCAGCUGAUUGAGACGAAGAACGCUUUAGUUUUUAUCUAUCACACUCACUCUCCCGUGCUAGAAUUGCUGUGUGUACCCAUGAAAUCGUGGUGCACAUUCAUUUCAGAGUGAGGAAUUGAACAGGGCCCAUUUGGUUCGAUCUUCAUUUGCUCCGCAAUGCAUGUGCAGAGUAACAAAUGGGUACUUUCUUUUCAUUACUCCCCUUUCGGUCUCGUUCAUUACUUGCUCAUAUUAUCAGAGAGGGUAAGCUUACCUUGCUCCAGAGGUCGUGAAUCCUGUGGUUGUUAAAGUCAGAAAUCAGCCAACUGUUGUGGAAAGACGUGCCCUUAAUUGCCUGCAUAACCCUGAUGGAAUAGAAAAGUUUUCAGCAGGUGUUUAAAAAUUAGCACAGAACACAACUACUGAAUCUAUAUUGACAGUGUUGUUUCUUAGGGCUGGGUCAAUGACAUUGAAGGCUUGGUUUCUGGUUUCUGGUUGUCAAAUGAACCCUGCCAACUCGGGGAACGACCAACGACCCACCUGCAAAUGAGCUCAGUGAUUAAACUGGGAUUUAAGGGUUCAAGAAGUCCCUAAGACAGCCUGGACAUACCAUACCUUUCCAUCUAUAAGACGCCUCCAUGUAUAAGAUGUAUAUUUUGGGGGUCUCAAAUUUGUGGAGGAUUGCCCAGAGUUAUUGAGCUUUUCUUGGGGGGGGUGCUCACCCGCAUGUGUCAAAAAAUCCACCUCCUGUCUGUCCCAUCGCCAGCAGAAGCUGCCAAUCACCCGCCCAACUGCCGGAGCGUCAGCCAAUCAACACCACCCAUUGAUGCAGCAACCAAUAACAUGCACAAUAACCACCGACAGCCAUGGCAGCAGCCAAUCAAACAUCCACCCUAUGCACUACCCAUGUAUAAGAUGACCCCCACUUUUAAGCAUGAUUUUUAAAAGGAAAAAACAUAGUCUUAUACAUGGAAAAGUACGGUAGGUUGUUCAGAGCUUUAUAAAUUAAUACAAUGACCUCAAACCUGGCUUGGUAAUAGAUGUGCAGAGUCAGUGAAGCUGUUUUAACAUCGGUAUGGGGCAAAGGAUUGCUCCGAGGACCCAUUGCAGGGAUUCCAAAGAAAGAUCUACAAAACUCAGUUCUAGUGAUCAGUUCUAGUGCUUUGCUAUAGAGAUAUAUCAAAAGAUUUGCAUACAGCAACGCAAUGCAGGAUUCCUUGCUGCCACACCUCAGGAUGGAUGCUGAAGCUGAAAGCACCGUGGCUUUGUCUGCAAGGGGCUAAUUGUAUAUGGGCUACUCAUGGAAAAAGCAAGCUACGUAAGCUGGCAACAAUAGCCCAAUUAGCCACCCCUAGCUUACAGGCCCUUUCCCCACUCCCAUCCAUCUUUCAGAUAAGAGGGUAGCUGACAGACAAGCAACAUGAGAAGCCUUCCCUCUUCCAACUUUUUGUUGUUUAGUCGUUUAGUCGUGUCUGACUCUUCGUGACCCCAUGGACCAGAGCAUGCCAGGCACUCCUGUCUUCCACUGCCUCCCACAGUUUGGCCAAACUCAUGCUGGUAGCUUCGAGAACACUAUCCAAUCAUCUCGUCUUGCCAUCUCAUUUUUGACCACAUCCAACUUACCCAGGUUCAUGGUUCUUACAUUCCAGGUUCCUAUGCAAUAUUUUUAUUUACAGCAUUGGACUUUCCUUUCGCUUCCAGGCAUAUCCGCAACUGAGCGUCCUUUCGGCUUUGGCCCAGCCGCUUCAUCAGCUCUGAAUCUACUUGUACUUGUCCUCCACUCUUCUUCGGUAACAUGUUGGACGCCUUCCAACCUGAGGGGCUCAUCUUACAGCAUCAUAACUUUUAUAUGCCUGUUGUCUUUGUCCAUGGAGUUUUCUUGGCAGGGAUACUGGAGUGGCUUGCCAGUUCCUGCUCCAGGUGGAUCACGUUUGGUCAAAACUCUCCACUAUGACCUGUCCAUCUUGGGUGCCCUGCACGGCAUAGUUCAUAGCUUCUCUGAGUUAUUCAAGCCCCUUCACCACGGCAAGGCAGUGAUCCAUGAAGGGGCUCUUCCAACUAACAGAACCAAAAUUAAGGCUUCAAAGCUUCAAAGCAAGCAGAUAGGCAUAUAAGACCUCGUUUUUACAGCUCACAUUUUUGAGGUUAUCUUGACUACAAAGAUGGCGUUUACAGGUCUUCCUGGACCUUUGCCCCAUUUGAUUAUACACAUCCUGACCCCCCAGGAGAGAAUAUCUGGUAGAAUUCUCUUACAAUUUUGCCGCCCACAAAUAGGGUGGUGCGUUUUUGCUCAGGCUCCCUGCUGAUUGCCUCCCCGUUAUACUUGCUUGCUACAAUGUGUGAGCUAUUUACCCAUUUGUGCCCAGACAUAUCCUGGAAUACAGAGAAAUGGACUAUGACAUAAAAAGACAAUUAUGGGAAGAAAAGACUGUAGAAGCAAAUGUACCUUAGCACUCAGUAAUGUGAACAAAUAUUGCAUACAAUUGUACUGCACAAGUUUAUCUCAUGUAAUGUUGUGUUUGAUGCGAAAACUUCAUCAAAGUAAUGGACUGCUCGGGCUCUUUACCAGUUCUUCCAGUUCAUUUCCAUCGUUCACCACUCUGCAUCACCUGUGUACAGAUGCACAUUGAUAAGACACUCCUUUGUGUGAAGUGUUUUCCUUCUUUUUCUUUUCCCCCCUUUUCUUUUCUUUUUUUUUAAGAUUCGUUCGGCUUUAAUGUACUCUGUGUUGACAACUUUCAGUAAAAAAAAGUAUUAAAAAAAAGAUAAAACACUAGGAAUAGACAGCCAAUGAGAGUCCUACUUGGAGUAGGUCCCUUUAAGUUCAUGGUCCUAAAUUAGUCAAGUGCUUGAACAAUUAUGACCUGUGCCUGUUCCUUAAGCAGUGGCAUCACAAUGGGGGGGGCGGGGGGCAGUGCGACCAGGGUGCCAUGUCUGGGGGGUGGUGACAUGAAGGCACCCUGUGGGGACUCGCAGCAGAGCAAGCAGCCAUUGUGUCACCACAGCCACAUGUGGAGGAUCCUCCAUUCAGGGCUGAAGCCACGAGCAGAGGAUCCCGGCGCCGGUGGCAAACUGCUAUGUACAGCGCAUGUGCAGCGUCACACGUAUGUGCUGUACAUAGCGACGCUCCCUCCGUCCCUCCAUCGCCACUACAGCCAUGAACAGAGGAUUCUGGCACCAUCCAUAUGGCGCUGGAGCGGCAGCGCCGGCAAACCGCUAUGUACGCUGUACACAGAGGUUUGCUGCCCCGGGUGUCACGACACCUUCGUUCGCCCCUGUCCUUAAGACACCAAAAUUGACCAUGGUGACCCAUGCCUUUCUUACAAUCCUGCUGAGGUCUGUUUCCUCAACAUUCCCUGCAGGCAAAACAGCAUCCUGAAGCCAGAAGGAUUGCACUCUGCACUUACUAGCUUGUGAGUGGAGGAUUCUGUCAGGCUUCAGCCCUAUUAAUCGAUGUCACUCCUGCGUCUUGUAAUCUGAAAUGUAGUAUAAACACUAACAAUUGGGAAACACUGGCCUGCAAGCGCUCCAAUUGGAGAACAGCCUUUACCAAAGGCGUCAUGGGCUUUGAAGACACUCGAACUCAGGACACAAGGGAGAAAUGUGCUAAGAGGAAGGCACACUUGGCAAAUCCACACUGUGAUCAACUCCAGCCUGGAAACCAAUGUCCCCACUGUGGAAGGACAUGUGGAUCCAGAAUUGACCUCCACAGUCACUUACAGAGACAUUGUUAAAACCGUGUUUAUGGAAGACAAUCUUACUCAGCUCCGAGUGGCCUCCAAAGAAGAAGAAAAAUCUGAGCUUGUACCCUCUGUGCAGUGGCACGCGUCCUGGGGGCAUGGCAUCCAGUGCGGGUGGGGGGGCAGCCACGAUGGCACCCCACAAGGAUCGCACUGCCAGGGGCGGCACGCUCCCCCCACCCCCUCUUCCUCUGCCAGUGACUCUGUGCUUUCUGUUCUGAAACUUUCUGAGCUCUCUGUGACCUUGGGGAGAUUGGAGGAAUGCUGUCCAUCAACUGUGAAUCUGUUAACCCUCUCUCUUCCUGUGUUCCUUUACCUAACUGUUCCCCAUCCAGUACAGCUGUACCUCAGAAGUCAAACGGAAUCCAUUCCAGAGGUCUGUUUGACUUCCAAAAUGUUCAGAAACCAAGGCACAGCUUCCAAUUGGCUGCAGGAAGCUCCUGCAGCCAAUCGGAAGCUGUGUCGGACGUUCAGGUUCCAAAGAAUGUUUGCAAAGCGGAACACUCACUUCUGGGUUUGCGGCAUUUGGGAACGAAAACAUUUGACUCACAAGGUGUUCAGGAUCCAAGGUACAACAGUAUUUCCCAGCUUCUGCCUUCUAAACUAUGCCCCUCUGCAAACCACUGUUCCAAAUCUAUACUGUCCUCCUGCUCCUGGGAAGAUUCAGGAGCAGGAGGGGGAGGGGGUGACUCCCACCAUUCCUCCUCAGUGCAGCCCUCCUCAGCACAGUCCCUGACAGAUUCAUUCCGGCUGGGACAAUCUGCCUCUCCUUUUUCCCACUUAGUGCCCUGUCCCAUGACAGCCCUGGAUCACUCUGGGAAGCCUGACCCAACCCAGGGUUGUCUCCGCUCAAACUGGCUGAAGCCCAGAUCCUUCCUAAUUGUCCCUGUUUGAGUCAGGAUAUGUCUGAACCUUUUCCAUCAAUUGGUUUUCUAGUCCUGCCCUCUGGAGCAACAGUAGAUUAAUCUGAUCCACCUUCUAUGUAGCAACCUUCAGGUGGCUGAUGAUGUUCAAAUCAUGAUUACAGCAACCUUCUUCUUUCAUAGUGAAUUACCAAUGCCUACAGGAGCUCCUUGAUAUCAACAAAACAAUGAUCUUGAUAGCAGCAGCACACGGUUGCGUUUCUUGGCAAUACAUGAACACAUUAGUAUUGGCCAUGCAAUGGUACUUCCAGUGCCUUCAUUGGCUCUUUUGGGUGCCUGGGAUGGAUUGAACAUAGACCAUCAUGAUAAAACUCUGGCCCUCCAUCUACUAGCUGCAGAAUGAAUGCUAAGAGCUAAAGGCUGGAAACAUCUGAAGGUAACUGGCAAAGAGGCCUGGUGUGUUUUAUAUUAACAUUUGAAAAGUUGACAUGCAAAAUACAGUUUGACAUGCAAAUAAAAUGGACAACUUCUUAAAUGUUUGGCAACAUAUAUAAAUGAUGCAAUUAAAAUUCAGACUGCUCCAGCUAGGCAUCCAUCUAUUUGGAAUGCAAAAUGCAUUUUGGGUGAUACUGAUUAUUUUUGAUGGAGCACUAGAUGCUGUUUUUCUUGUAUAUAUCUGCAUAGGAAUAAGAAAAAAAUAAAUGUGUUGAUUUAUAACAUUUCACUGCUCACUUCCUGUUUGGUGAAUUUCAGAUAAUAGCCUCCCCCCACUUAAAAAAAUAUAUAUCUUUUUAAAAACUUUUGUUCUGUCUGCUUCCUUUUUCUCACACUGGUGAACUUUUUUUAUUUACUUCUUUUAGGUAUAUCUGUAUUUAUGAAUCUUUCUCUCUCUCUCUCUCUCCCUCAAUUAUCUCAAUAUAAAUAUGCAUCUUUGUUUGCACUGAAAAUUGAAUAAAGCUAAAUUAAUCCAGGAAUGCAAAGGAAGAAGUCACGAAGGAAAACUGAGGGGAAAGUGGGCUUGUGGCACACUCUGAACAAAAUCCACAAAUGAAAAGACGCCAAACAAUGGAGGAGAACCGAAUAAAUCAGUUGGUGGAAGCUUCUGCGAAAACCUCUAUCUUCUGUCUUUAUUUUGUGGUAACGUUAUCCUUUACAAGUUUGCUUCGGAUGGUUCAGUGUGAAAAGCAACACAUACAUGCUCCGGCCC